rnacentral:lncRNA from 1 species
UGGCCUGCACCCAACUGCACAGCUUGUGCCUCGAAAUUGGUCACCCACGGUUUCUUUAUGAGAAGGGGGUAAGGGGAACUGGCAACUGGGGUUUUUUACUCGAUUGCAUAUCCCGUCCCAGGGCUUAAUAGGAGCGGGGUUGCGCUGGUGUCAAGAUGCCACCAAAGAAGGGAGGCGGGAAGAAGAAGGGCAAGUCGCCCGCGCAAAAGCGGGCAGCCCCUCAGGUGUCCCCUCCGUCGUCGUCCGAUGAGGACUCCUGGGCCAUGCUGAAGGAGCUACAGGCUAAAGUAGCAAGUUUGGAAGCAAGACAAACAGAGAGGCAGGCUUACAGGGACACAGCGGUUACGCCGCGUCGCUCGGCUCGGGAUACAAAGGGAAGGCGUAGGGCAGAAAUGAAGACAAUCACACUUGAAUUAAUGAAACGUUUCGAUGCCCUUGAGUCUGAACAGGUACAGGAUGUGGAAGGUCAGCACGUGAAUGAAGGUGUUCCAGCAGAACCCCUGGUGAGCGGUGGUCGGAAGCGAAGGAGGAAUGAGGCUGCAGACGUACAGGACGGGGCAGAGGGAACAUCUUAUGGGCAUUACACUGGUGAAGAACCGUCUACAAGUUCUCAAGGGGCGGUGGCUGCUUCAGGAGUACCAGAGACGGUUGGCGGUGAGUGCGAAGAAACACACGAUACAGUUGGACAGGUAUCAUCUUGGCCUUGGGCUGGGGGCUGGCAACAGCCGAGUGUUUCACCAGCUUCUGGGGUAACUCCUAACAUGGCAUGGCCAGGUUGUUUUUGGCCCCCAAUGGGCCAACAAUGGUUAGGAUGGGGUCUGCCUGUCACUAGCCGGGUACAACCAGCAGUGGCUGGAUCAGGUAUGACCCCGACAACACAGCAGCACCCAUCAGUACCAAACACGGGUUAUAAUACUGCUCCAAUUACAGCUAUGCCUUAUACUGACUAUAAUUCGCCGUUGGGUGAUCACCUGACCCCGGCAGUUAAAGAAAAGAUCUGGAAAGGCGAUUACAU